CCUAGAGUUGUAGGCUUUGCCUGCUAUCUCUUACCCAUGUCUUUUGAGUACCUUACGUUUCCUCGGUGGGUUCGCCCAUCGAUUGGACAAACUUAAACCCUUUGCAGUUGAAAUCAGCGUCUGAAAAAACUUAAUAGUUA
rnacentral:misc_RNA from 1 species